UAUACGAAGGUGGAAUGAGCUCAGCAAAAGCUGCAUUGGAGAGCGAUACAAAAGUGCUGGCUUUUGAACUGCACUUGCUUGCCACAAAGCAUCAGGUGCCCUCAAGAGUACUGGGAAGAAUGCCGACAAACUAAAAAAAUGGAGAG